UGUGUCAUUGUUGAAAGAUUGUGGCGUCACAGAUGAAGGUUGUUCUGCUCUGACUUCAGCUCUGAGAUCAAACCCCUCACACCUGAGAGAACUGGAUCUGUCUCUGAAUAAACUACGACAAUCAGGAGUGAAGUUACUCUCUGAUCUGAAAGAUGAUCCACGUUAUAAACUGAAGACAUUAAACUACUGACUCUCAGUAUUUAGACGUCAGUUCAGUUUCCUCAGGAUCAGCUGAUGGUGAAUAAGAGCCGCUACAGGAAUCAGUGAUGUGAAGUUAAAUGAAUGCAUGGAAGUGUAAUGUGUGGAGCAGUGUUGAUGAACAGAAGAAACAAGCUUCAAGGAAACUAAAGUAAUUCAUCAAAAGACGUUUUUAUCCAAAGGACAUUCAGAAAAUAGUUGAUAUUUUUAUACAGCACUGAAAACAAAGAAAAUUAAUGUGAUAUUUUCAGUGAUGGGCUUAUAUCCUGAGCUGUCCAGAUUUAAUAUAGAUCAUCAUAACUGUGUAUCCUGAAAUUCAGAAAUAGAAAACUUAUCACUUGUACAUUUUCUUAUAUUUUAAUCAAGUCUAACAUUUGAGUGUGUAACCUAUGUAUGUAUGUGUUUAUUUUUAUUAAAAUGUGUGUCAUCUCGAGAAGAGGAGCUUCUACUUGAUAUCAUCAUGAGAAAUGUGUGAAUGUGUGAGUUUUUUUUUCUUAAUGUAUUGUGUUUCCUUCAGGAGCCUCAGUGAAUGUGUGAAUCUUCUGUAAUAGUUGUGUUUGAGUCCCUCAGUAGUCUUCAGUGUGAAAAGAUGAAUCUCAAAAUCAGACAGUCACUGCUGGAAAGAGUUCAGAUACGCAAAAGAUGCUGGUAAACUGAAGAAUCUGCAGGAGCUAGAGGAUUUUUAUUAUGUUUAAACGUAAUCAUCUAUUAUAUAAAAUAUCUUACUCGGGUCAGUACU